GACGAACGCUGGCGGUGUGCUUAACACAUGCAAGUCGAACGGUAAGGCCCUUUCGGGGGUACACGAGUGGCGAACGGGUGAGUAACACGUGAGUAACCUGCCCUCAUCUCUGGGAUAACAGUCGGAAACGGUUGCUAAUACUGGAUAUGAGCUUGCAAGGCAUCUUGUGGGUUGGAAAGAUUUUUUUGGUUGGGGAUGGACUCGCGGCCUAUCAGCUUGUUGGUGAGGUAGUGGCUCACCAAGGCUUCGACGGGUAGCCGGCCUGAGAGGGCGACCGGCCACAUUGGGACUGAGAUACGGCCCAAACUCCUACGGGAGGCAGCAGUGGGGAAUAUUGCACAAUGGACGGAAGUCUGAUGCAGUAACGCCGCGUGCGGGAUGACGGCCUUCGGGUUGUAAACCGCUUUCAAUUGUGACGAAGCUUUUUGUGACGGUAGCAGUAGAAGAAGCACCGGCUAACUACGUG
rnacentral:rRNA from 1 species